rnacentral:lncRNA from 1 species
AAAAAAAAAGGGAAAGAAAAGGAAAAAGAGAAAAAGAGAAAAGGAGGGAAGGAGGACAGCGGAGACGAAGAAGAAGAGGAAAGUUCCAGAAGGAGAGAGGAGAGAGUCGGGGCGGAGGGGAGCGAGAAGGGAGAGGGAAGGAGGCCGUGGACGGACGACGCGACCGGCAGGAAGAAGGAAGAUGGAAACGGGAGGUACGGUGAAAAUUUGAGCUGUUGGUGUGGUGUGUGUGUGUAGAGAAUUUUGUGCAGGUGCGGCGUCGGCAAUGGCGCGACGGAGUGGAGCAGUGAAGGUAGGCCGUAAGCGUGGGGUUGUCCCGCGCGCUCACGGAGGUGAUCGGGGAAGGAAUGGAAAGUAUGGCGGUGUUGGAGGCGUGUGGGGAGCCGUGGGGAAGGAUGGGGGUGGUGCGGGUAGAACAGAGUGAGGAGG